UACGGGGGGGGCAAGCGUUGUUCGGAAUUACUGGGCGUAAAGGGCGCGUAGGCGGUGUCGCAAGUCCGUGGUGAAAUCUCUAGGCUCAACUUAGAGACUGCCGCGGAAACUGCGGUGCUUGAGUGUGGGAGAGGUGCGUGGAAUUCCCGGUGUAGCGGUGAAAUGCGCAGAUAUCAGGAGGAACACCGAUGGCGAAGGCAGGUCUCUGGGCCACUACUGACGCUGAGAAGCGAAAGCAUGGGGAGCGAACAGG
rnacentral:rRNA from 1 species